rnacentral:ncRNA from 1 species
AUGACCGGCGGAGAUGGCAUUCCUCCGGUCCUGUCGCGACAGGCGAACCGCCGCCAAGGCUGAUGAUGCCUGCCCACCC